rnacentral:rRNA from 1 species
UGCCAGACUCCUACGGGAGGCAGCAGUGGGGAAUAUUGCACAAUGGGGGAAACCCUGAUGCAGCGACGCCGCGUGAGUGAAGAAGUAUUUCGGUAUGUAAAGCUCUAUCAGCAGGGAAGAAGAUGACGGUACCUGACUAAGAAGCCCCGGCUAACUACGUGCCAGCAGCCGCGGUAAUACGUAGGGGGCAAGCGUUAUCCGGAUUUACUGGGUGUAAAGGGAGCGUAGACGGCAGGGCAAGUCUGGAGUGAAAGCCCGGGGCCCAACCCCGGGACUGCUUUGGAAACUGCCAUGCUAGAGUGCUGGAGAGGUAAGCGGAAUUCCUAGUGUAGCGGUGAAAUGCGUAGAUAUUAGGAGGAACACCAGUGGCGAAGGCGGCUUACUGGACAGUAACUGACGUUGAGGCUCGAAAGCGUGGGGAGCAAACAGGAUUAGAUACCCCGGUA